GCCUCCGUGGCGCAAUUGAUUAGCGUGUUCGACUGUUAACCAACAUUUUGGUGGUUCCAGUCCACCCGGGGGCG
rnacentral:tRNA from 1 species